rnacentral:rRNA from 1 species
UACGGGGGGGGCAAGCGUUGUUCGGAAUUACUGGGCGUAAAGGGCUUGUAGGCGGCCAACUAAGUCAAACGUGAAAUCCCUCGGCUUAACCGGGGAACUGCGCUUGAUACUGGAUGGCUUGAGAUUGGGAGAGGGAUGCGGAAUUCCAGGUGUAGCGGUGAAAUGCGUAGAUAUCUGGAGGAACACCGGUGGCGAAGGCGGCAUCUUGGACCAACACUGACGCUGAGGAGCGAAAGCCAGGGGAGCAAACGGG